GACGAACGCUGGCGGCGUGCUUAACACAUGCAAGUCGAACGGAAAGGCCCUGCUUGCGCGGGGUGCUCGAGUGGCGAACGGGUGAGUAACACGGGAGUAACCUGCCCUUGACUUUGGGAUAACUUCAGGAAACUGGGGCUAAUACCGGAUAGGAGCUCCUGCUGCAGGGGGGGGGUUGGAAAGUUUCGGCGGUUGUGGAUGGACUCGCGGCUUAUGAGCUUGUGGGUGGAGUAGUGGCCUACCAAGGCUUCGACGGGUAGCCGGCCUGGGAGGGUGACCGGCGUCAAUGGUCCUGAGGUACGCACCAGAGUCCUACGGUGGGCAGCAGUGGGAAGUAUUGCACAGUGGGCGGAAGCCUGAUGCGACAGCGCCGCGUGCGGGAUGACGGCCUUCGGGUUGUAAACCGCUUUAGCCUGUGACGAAGCGUGAGUGACGGUAAUGAGUGAAGAAGCACCGGCUAACUACGUG
rnacentral:rRNA from 1 species